GGGCGUACGCUUUCUUUCAAAGACUAAGCCAUGCAUAUGCUAGUUCAUACAUUAUAAAUGUGAGACUGUGGAAGGCUCAGUAUAUCAGUUAUAAUCUGCUCGAUUGUAAAGGUUAUUGGAUAACCGUGGGAAAUCUAGAGCUAAUACAUGUAAGAGCGUGUGUUGUGCACGACAUGGCAUUUAUUGCAUCACCAACGGCGUUAAAGUGAUUUAACGUGAGGCGAAUCUAGAUAACUGUGCAGAUCGUAUGGCCUUGUGCCGGCGAUAUUUCGAUUGAAUUUCUGCCCUAUCAACUUUUGUCGGCAGUUUAGUGGACUGCUGAGGUUAUUACGGGUAACGGGGGAUCAGGGUUCGAUUCCGGAGAGGGAGCCUGAGAAAUGGCUACCACAUCCAAGGAUGGCAGCAGGCGCGCAAAUUACCCAAUCCAGACGAUGGGAGGUGGUGAAGAAAAGUACCGAAUGCCGGCCGAAAGGUCGUCAAUUUGGAAUGGAAACAAUUUAGGGAAUUGAUUUGAGUAACAACUGGAGGGCAAGUCUGGUGCCAGCAGCCGCGGUAAUUCCAGCUCCAGUAGCGUACUUCAAAGUUGCUGCGCUUAAAACGCUCGUAGUUGGAUCAUUGGGCAUAGAUUGGUUGUUACAAAACUGCUAAAUGUGUGUAUGUUUGUGUAUUGUAUGUUCUCAUGCAAUAGGUACAAAAUAUGCAAGGUAGUAGGUUGGUAACAGUAAGCCAAUGUAUGUAAAUUGCGUGUGAGGAUGAGAAUUGACCUUGAGUGAGUUGAUGAUUGUGUCUCACAGAGUGUGCCUUGAGUAAAUCAGAGUGCUUAAAGCAAGUGUAUAUAGCUUGAAUGUUGAUAGCAUGGAACGAACAAUCGUGUAUGGUGUGUAAUAGUAUGAUUGUAAUAGUACCAACGAGGUGAUAUUGCAAGGUAAAUUAUUACACGACACCGACCACCAGUUACGGAUGUUGGUUCCGUAUUGGGGUAGCGAUUAAGAGGAGCGGUUGGGGGCAUUGGUAUUUGGCAGCGAGAGGUGAAAUUCUUGGACCUACCAAGGACCAACAAAUGCGAAGGCAUCUGUCAAGACCGUAUCCAUUAAUCAAGAACGAAAGUGAGAGGUUCGAAGACGAUCAGAUACCGUCCUAGUUCUCACUGUAAACUAUGCCGACCCGGGAUCAGUUUGGAGCAAUUUCCACGCUCGAGGUUGGUCCCCCUGGGAAACCUAAAGUUUUUCGGUUGCGGGGGGAGUAUGGUCGCAAGGCUGAAACUUAAAGGAAUUGACGGAAGGGCACCACCAGGGGUGGAGCCUGCGGCUUAAUUUGACUCAACACGGGAAAACUUACCUGGUCCGGACAUCAAAAGGAUAAACAGACUAAAAGAUCUUAAUAAAAUUUUGAUAUGAUGAUUGGUGGUGCAUGGCCGUUCUUAGUUCGUGGAGUGAUCUGUCAGGCCAAUCCCGGUAACGAACGAGAGCACAGUCUUCAUUUGAAGCGCCAAAAAAGACGUGUUAUGACAAAUUUUGACCGCGAGGACAGGUUUGACAUAAAAUGGCGAUGGUAGUAAAGUGUUGGCGGUUGAAAGUGGUGGUAGAAUGGUAACAUUGUACCGCUGCGGAAAACUGUGCCAUGUAUUUUACUCCGUUUGGUGAAACAAUGAAUUGGUCGCAAGAUUAAUUUGUUGUAUCAUGGAGAGACAGCGGAAUAUAUUUCAAAAUCCGAGGAAGUGUGGCUAUAACAGGUCUGUGAUGCCCUUAGAUGUUCAGGGCUGCACGCGCGCUACAAUGGUGGUGACAAAGAGUUUCUGAAUCGAAAGAUUUGGGUAAUCUUGCAAUCACCGCCGUGAUGGGGAUCGACGUUUGUAAUUACGUCGUGAAAGAGGAAUCCCUAGUACGUGCGAUUCAUGAGAUCGCGCGGAUUUCGUCCCUGCCCUUUGUACACACCGCCCGUCGCUACUACCGAGUGAAUGGUACCAUAAUGCCUUGGGAGCGGACGUCGCUACUGGGUUAAUUCCUGGGAAGAUGCUGCGAUCAGCGUAGAAUGGUGCAAUUUCGAGGAAGUAAAAGU
rnacentral:rRNA from 1 species